AUUGAACGCUGGCGGCAUGCUUUACACAUGCAAGUCGAACAGUAACAGGGAGCUUGCUCCGCUGACGAGUGGCGAACGGGUGAGUAAUGCGUCGGAACGUGCCGAGUAGUGGGGGAUAACGCAGCGAAAGUUGUGCUAAUACCGCAUACGUACUGAGGUAGAAAGUGGGGGACCUUCGGGCCUCACGCUAUUCGAGCGGCCGACGUCUGAUUAGCUAGUAGGUGAGGUAAAGGCCCACCUAGGCGACGAUCAGUAGCGGGUCUGAGAGGAUGAUCCGCCACACUGGGACUGAGACACGGCCCAGACUCCUACGGGAGGCAGCAGUGGGGAAUUUUGGACAAUGGGCGAAAGCCUGAUCCAGCCAUGCCGCGUGUCUGAAGAAGGCCUUCGGGUUGUAAAGGACUUUUGUCGGGGAGGAAAUCCCCAGCGCUAAUACCGCUGGGGGAUGACAGUACCUGAAGAAUAAGCACCGGCUAACUACGUGCCAGCAGCCGCCGUAAAAC
rnacentral:rRNA from 1 species